UUAAAAGAAACCAGAACACGGCGCGAGGGAAUUGGAGAAACUGAUAAUAUCGCCCGCCAAGAGAGAUCAUUGGCUGGUGCUUGGUUCAGGGAUGACCGGUAGUGGUGCAGGAACUUUCACGUUUGGCCGGUGGUGAUGUGUGCGGCUAUACAGCAACGACACAGGAUGGACCAGCGAUGGUAUGACCGGCAUGAGGUGGUGGCAGGUUUGUUAGGCGAGUAGGAGCAUGGAACGAAGAGCUGCAGAAUGCUUGGUCGAGAGAUGUAGAUUAUGAAUAAAGGAUCCCAAGGUAGCAAUGUUGGACGUCGGCACUACUUAUGAAUUGGAAAUGUUCGUGGAGGAUGAUCGUGAACAGCCAACAAAAAGAACGCUGGAUUGCCAGAAAAGCCAAGGAAUGCUCGAGCUUUGUUGGUAGUCACGGUGAUGACUUGUUGGGAGCUGAGUUGCUGGUGAGGCCACUGGUCUUACUAGGAGUUCGUCCGUUGCUCGCUGCGGGACCGGUGUGACCUGGGCAAGUGUCGGACAGCCUGCUGGGUACGCCUGCAACUAGUUUGC
rnacentral:lncRNA from 1 species